UGUACUUGUAUGUUUUUUAUUCAGCGUUUAUCAAAAAUUAGCUAUCGGGAAUAGAACGCAUAUUUAGGCGAUGCAAAUGAAUAUUUAAUGCGAGCAAGUGAUAAAACUUGGAAAUUAUUGACUAGAAUUAUGAUAUAUGAAGGAAUUCCUGGCUCUUAAUUAUCGAUUAAUGGACGAGUUGUAAAGUUUUAUUGGAGACGCAAGAAUGCGCGUUCCCGGCAACGCAGCCGGGACCUGGGUCCGACCGGGUGGAAACUGGUGUGUGUCGCUAACAGCUGCUGAACUUGAUCUUCCAUCGAUCGGCGCUCUACGUACAGUUCUCCCUAAAUUUAGAUCUCAUAUAUCCCCAGGCUCUUUCAUCAAUUUCCCACGCAAAUACAAGCCACUAAGGUCACAAAUCCAAUGUGCCUGUAAACACACAUUCCGGGCCGGCGGCGACGCUAUUCGUAUCACCAAGGCAUUACACUACACUACGUAGUGUAGUAUUGUGCCGUGGUAUCACCCUGUAGCAAGUACUAGUAUGCCUUUAAUGCGCUCCAAAGACGGUUAAGAGCCAUCUAUCUUGAUUUUGCAAUUUAUUUUUUUGCUCAAAUCGAUUUACAGUCAUCAUGCGUCUUUUGGAGACACGCAACUUAAUUUGAAUAUGAAUGUAAAUUCAUACAGACGUGAUUGGUCAAUACGCCGUUCUUCGGAUUUUAAGCUCGUUAACGGUGACCUUUGUAUUACAGUGAUUUUGAAUGCGUAUGCCUAUGUACAAACGAUAAAGCGGAAACUUUGAAUCCAGGAUGCGUCAGUGAAUAAACGGAAAGUUAGACAUAUGGUUACGUGAGCUCCGCUCCGCAGCAUCUUCGUAGUUCCUUUUAAUAUUACACCGUUUCAAUACUUCACUCAUACAUACUUGAACGUAUAAAUAAAAUGUCAAAUUAAAGCUCUAAUAUACUGCAAUUUCGACAUCGAUCAGCGUGCGCAUAGUAUUAAGUCAGUCUAUGUUCGCACUGUUUUGUAACAAAACUUAAACACAUUUUGAUUGUAUUGCUCCUGGCCAUGUACAAAGAUCUGCACACUACAGAGUAUUAGAAUCCCGCCGGGGAGUCGGAGCGUAGUGGGAGAUGACUGUACAUUUGCGGAAAGGGAUGCACGUCAGCCACGGUUUCCCCCGCAACCGCCGGCCUCUGCGGACUGAUGCCGUACGUCGUCAACAGGGAACCCCUCCGGAGAUUAUGAUGCUGCGACACGGAAACAGCUGAACUGCUGUCGGAAGCGGCGCUGUUAUUGGCCUUGAACGGCGGCACAGCGGGUGCACCGGCUUCCACCACGACGGCUGCUGCCGACUCCGGCGGACUGCGUGCUGUGCCACCCAGAGGAGCAAUCUGUACAAGAGGAAGUUGCGUGCGGGCAUCGGCCAGGAAGCUCUGAGGAAAGCAUGGCUCGGAUAGACUGCGCACGCCUAAUGGCGAAUCGACAGGUUUUUCCAGAAGGUGACCUGGUGGGGUGUUGAUCUCGGGUUGAGCGCCUGGGGGAGAGGGUAAAAGUUUCGUGUCUUCGUAGGGAAGGUUCGAUUCAUUGAACUGCACCGAUACUAAAAAAGAGAAUCGAAUUUUAUUCCUAAUAUUUCUGUUGCUUUGUAUACGAGUACUAUUUAAUUUCGGUUCGUAUUUGUAUGUGCAUAAGUCGUAAUCAACAUGCAAGUAGCUGCGCCGUUGCGCAUUUACAGAUAAAAAAUGUCUUUGCAAAUGAUCGAACUCACUAUACGUCACUACAGGACGCGCUAUUUUGUUAUGUAAUCUGUAAGUGCGCGACGAUAUUACUAGACCACACAGUGCAGAUUUCAGAUUGGGAACAGAAUCAACGAAACCUGCAAUUUAGCCGAAUUGUACUGUACAGAGCGAGUUAGGUACUUAGAGGCCAACGUACAUUUUGCUUUGAUUACUGGUUUAGUCCGCAUUGGCACUUUUAUGUUAUGCAAGCAUUAAUAAUUUAAUGCUAUGGCAAUUUGUCAUUAAUAUUCAAAUGGUUACAUCUAUAUUUCUGUAUGUUGUUUGAAUUUGUUUCUGAUUAUGACUACAAUCUACUUCAUCCAUGGAGUGCUGCUCACUGA